rnacentral:rRNA from 1 species
GGUGACAGCCCCGUACACAAAAAUGCACAUGCUGUGAGCUCGAUGAGUAGGGCGGGACACGUGGUAUCCUGUCUGAAUAUGGGGGGACCAUCCUCCAAGGCUAAAUACUCCUGACUGACCGAUAGUGAACCAGUACCGUGAGGGAAAGGCGAAAAGAACCCCGGCGAGGGGAGUGAAAAAGAACCUGAAACCGUGUACGUACAAGCAGUGGGAGCACGCUUAGGCGUGUGACUGCGUACCUUUUGUAUAAUGGGUCAGCGACUUAUAUUCUGUAGCAAGGUUAACCGAAUAGGGGAGCCGAAGGGAAACCGAGUCUUAACUGGGCGUUAAGUUGCAGGGUAUAGACCCGAAACCCGGUGAUCUAGCCAUGGGCAGGUUGAAGGUUGGGUAACACUAACUGGAGGACCGAACCGACUAAUGUUGAAAAAUUAGCGGAUGACUUGUGGCUGGGGGUGAAAGGCCAAUCAAACCGGGAGAUAGCUGGUUCUCCCCGAAAGCUAUUUAGGUAGCGCCUCGUGAAUUCAUCUCCGGGGGUAGAGCACUGUUUCGGCAAGGGGGUCAUCCCGACUUACCAACCCGAUGCAAACUGCGAAUACCGGAGAAUGUUAUCACGGGAGACACACGGCGGGUGCUAACGUCCGUCGUGAAGAGGGAAACAACCCAGACCGCCAGCUAAGGUCCCAAAGUCAUGGUUAAGUGGGAAACGAUGUGGGAAGGCCCAGACAGCCAGGAUGUUGGCUUAGAAGCAGCCAUCAUUUAAAGAAAGCGUAAUAGCUCACUGGUCGAGUCGGCCUGCGCGGAAGAUGUAACGGGGCUAAACCAUGCACCGAAGCUGCGGCAGCGACACUGUGUGUUGUUGGGUAGGGGAGCGUUCUGUAAGCCUGCGAAGGUGUGCUGUGAGGCAUGCUGGAGGUAUCAGAAGUGCGAAUGCUGACAUAAGUAACGAUAAAGCGGGUGAAAAGCCCGCUCGCCGGAAGACCAAGGGUUCCUGUCCAACGUUAAUCGGGGCAGGGUGAGUCGACCCCUAAGGCGAGGCCGAAAGGCGUAGUCGAUGGGAAACAGGUUAAUAUUCCUGUACUUGGUGUUACUGCGAAGGGGGGACGGAGAAGGCUAUGUUGGCCGGGCGACGGUUGUCCCGGUUUAAGCGUGUAGGCUGGUUUUCCAGGCAAAUCCGGAAAAUCAAGGCUGAGGCGUGAUGACGAGGCACUACGGUGCUGAAGCAACAAAUGCCCUGCUUCCAGGAAAAGCCUCUAAGCAUCAGGUAACAUCAAAUCGUACCCCAAACCGACACAGGUGGUCAGGUAGAGAAUACCAAGGCGCUUGAGAGAACUCGGGUGAAGGAACUAGGCAAAAUGGUGCCGUAACUUCGGGAGAAGGCACGCUGAUACGUAGGUGAAGUCCCUCGCGGAUGGAGCUGAAAUCAGUCGAAGAUACCAGCUGGCUGCAACUGUUUAUUAAAAACACAGCACUGUGCAAACACGAAAGUGGACGUAUACGGUGUGACGCCUGCCCGGUGCCGGAAGGUUAAUUGAUGGGGUCAGCGCAAGCGAAGCUCUUGAUCGAAGCCCCGGUAAACGGCGGCCGUAACUAUAACGGUCCUAAGGUAGCGAAAUUCCUUGUCGGGUAAGUUCCGACCUGCACGAAUGGCGUAAUGAUGGCCAGGCUGUCUCCACCCGAGACUCAGUGAAAUUGAACUCGCUGUGAAGAUGCAGUGUACCCGCGGCAAGACGGAAAGACCCCGUGAACCUUUACUAUAGCUUGACACUGAACAUUGAGCCUUGAUGUGUAGGAUAGGUGGGAGGCUUUGAAGUGUGGACGCCAGUCUGCAUGGAGCCGACCUUGAAAUACCACCCUUUAAUGUUUGAUGUUCUAACGUUGACCCGUAAUCCGGGUUGCGGACAGUGUCUGGUGGGUAGUUUGACUGGGGCGGUCUCCUCCUAAAGAGUAACGGAGGAGCACGAAGGUUGGCUAAUCCUGGUCGGACAUCAGGAGGUUAGUGCAAUGGCAUAAGCCAGCUUGACUGCGAGCGUGACGGCGCGAGCAGGUGCGAAAGCAGGUCAUAGUGAUCCGGUGGUUCUGAAUGGAAGGGCCAUCGCUCAACGGAUAAAAGGUACUCCGGGGAUAACAGGCUGAUACCGCCCAAGAGUUCAUAUCGACGGCGGUGUUUGGCACCUCGAUGUCGGCUCAUCACAUCCUGGGGCUGAAGUAGGUCCCAAGGGUAUGGCUGUUCGCCAUUUAAAGUGGUACGCGAGCUGGGUUUAGAACGUCGUGAGACAGUUCGGUCCCUA